rnacentral:rRNA from 1 species
GGGAAGAGCCCAAACCAACAAGCUUGCUUGUUGGGGUUGUAGGACACUCUAUACGGAGUUACAAAGGACGACAUUAGACGAAUCAUCUGGAAAGAUGAAUCAAAGAAGGUAAUAAUCCUGUAGUCGAAAAUGUUGUCUCUCUUGAGUGGAUCCUGAGUACGACGGAGCACGUGAAAUUCCGUCGGAAUCUGGGAGGACCAUCUCCUAAGGCUAAAUACUCUCUAGUGACCGAUAGUGAACCAGUACCGUGAGGGAAAGGUGAAAAGCACCCCGGAAGGGGAGUGAAAUAGAACCUGAAACCGUGUGCUUACAAGUAGUCAGAGCCCGUUAAUGGGUGAUGGCGUGCCUUUUGUAGAAUGAACCGGCGAGUUACGAUUUGAUGCAAGGUUAAGCAGUAAAUGUGGAGCCGUAGCGAAAGCGAGUCUGAAUAGGGCGUUUAGUAUUUGGUCGUAGACCCGAAACCAGGUGAUCUACCCUUGGUCAGGUUGAAGUUCAGGUAACACUGAAUGGAGGACCGAACCGACUUACGUUGAAAAGUGAGCGGAUGAACUGAGGGUAGCGGAGAAAUUCCAAUCGAACCUGGAGAUAGCUGGUUCUCUCCGAAAUAGCUUUAGGGCUAGCCUCAAGUGAUGAUUAUUGGAGGUAGAGCACUGUUUGGACGAGGGGCCCCUCUCGGGUUACCGAAUUCAGACAAACUCCGAAUGCCAAUUAAUUUAACUUGGGAGUCAGAACAUGGGUGAUAAGGUCCGUGUUCGAAAGGGAAACAGCCCAGACCACCAGCUAAGGUCCCAAAAUAUAUGUUAAGUGGAAAAGGAUGUGGCGUUGCCCAGACAACUAGGAUGUUGGCUUAGAAGCAGCCAUCAUUUAAAGAGUGCGUAAUAGCUCACUAGUCGAGUGACACUGCGCCGAAAAUGUACCGGGGCUAAACAUAUUACCGAAGCUGUGGAUUGUCCUUUGGACAAUGGUAGGAGAGCGUUCUAAGGGCGUUGAAGCAUGAUCGUAAGGACAUGUGGAGCGCUUAGAAGUGAGAAUGCCGGUGUGAGUAGCGAAAGACGGGUGAGAAUCCCGUCCACCGAUUGACUAAGGUUUCCAGAGGAAGGCUCGUCCGCUCUGGGUUAGUCGGGUCCUAAGCUGAGGCCGACAGGCGUAGGCGAUGGAUAACAGGUUGAUAUUCCUGUACCACCUAUAAUCGUUUUAAUCGAUGGGGGGACGCAGUAGGAUAGGCGAAGCGUGCGAUUGGAUUGCACGUCUAAGCAGUAAGGCUGAGUAUUAGGCAAAUCCGGUACUCGUUAAGGCUGAGCUGUGAUGGGGAGAAGACAUUGUGUCUUCGAGUCGUUGAUUUCACACUGCCGAGAAAAGCCUCUAGAUAGAAAAUAGGUGCCCGUACCGCAAACCGACACAGGUAGUCAAGAUGAGAAUUCUAAGGUGAGCGAGCGAACUCUCGUUAAGGAACUCGGCAAAAUGACCCCGUAACUUCGGGAGAAGGGGUGCUCUUUAGGGUUAACGCCCAGAAGAGCCGCAGUGAAUAGGCCCAAGCGACUGUUUAUCAAAAACACAGGUCUCUGCUAAACCGUAAGGUGAUGUAUAGGGGCUGACGCCUGCCCGGUGCUGGAAGGUUAAGAGGAGUGGUUAGCUUCUGCGAAGCUACGAAUCGAAGCCCCAGUAAACGGCGGCCGUAACUAUAACGGUCCUAAGGUAGCGAAAUUCCUUGUCGGGUAAGUUCCGACCCGCACGAAAGGCGUAACGAUUUGGGCACUGUCUCAACGAGAGACUCGGUGAAAUCAUAGUACCUGUGAAGAUGCAGGUUACCCGCGACAGGACGGAAAGACCCCGUGGAGCUUUACUGUAGCCUGAUAUUGAAAUUCGGCACAGCUUGUACAGGAUAGGUAGGAGCCUUUGAAACGUGAGCGCUAGCUUACGUGGAGGCGCUGGUGGGAUACUACCCUAGCUGUGUUGGCUUUCUAACCCGCACCACUUAUCGUGGUGGGAGACAGUGUCAGGCGGGCAGUUUGACUGGGGCGGUCGCCUCCUAAAAGGUAACGGAGGCGCUCAAAGGUUCCCUCAGAAUGGUUGGAAAUCAUUCAUAGAGUGUAAAGGCAUAAGGGAGCUUGACUGCGAGACCUACAAGUCGAGCAGGGUCGAAAGACGGACUUAGUGAUCCGGUGGUUCCGCAUGGAAGGGCCAUCGCUCAACGGAUAAAAGCUACCCCGGGGAUAACAGGCUUAUCUCCCCCAAGAGUUCACAUCGACGGGGAGGUUUGGCACCUCGAUGUCGGCUCAUCGCAUCCUGGGGCUGUAGUCGGUCCCAAGGGUUGGGCUGUUCGCCCAUUAAAGCGGUACGCGAGCUGGGUUCAGAACGUCGUGAGACAGUUCGGUCCCUAUCCGUCGUGGGCGUAGGAAAUUUGAGAGGAGCUGUCCUUAGUACGAGAGGACCGGGAUGGACAUACCUCUGGUGUACCAGUUGUCGUGCCAACGGCAUAGCUGGGUAGCUAUGUGUGGACGGGAUAAGUGCUGAAAGCAUCUAAGCAUGAAGCCCCCCUCAAGAUGAGAUUUCCCAACUUCGGUUAUAAGAUCCCUCAAAGAUGAUGAGGUUAAUAGGUUCGAGGUGGAAGCAUGGUGACAUGUGGAGCUGACGAAUACUAAUCGAUCGAAGACUUAAUCAA